UACGUAGGGGGCUAGCGUUGUCCGGAAUCAUUGGGCGUAAAGAGCGUGUAGGCGGCCCGGUAAGUCCGCUGUGAAAGUCGGGGGCUCAACCCUCGAAUGCCGGUGGAUACUGUCGGGCUAGAGUGCGGAAGAGGCGAGUGGAAUUCCUGGUGUAGCGGUGAAAUGCGUAGAUAUCGAGAGGAACACCUGCGGCGAAGGCGGGUUGCUGGGCCGACACUGACGCUGAUGCGCGAAAGCCAGGGGAGCGAACGGG
rnacentral:rRNA from 1 species